ensembl:snoRNA
ACUCUCCUUUGGUUUAUAAGCAUAAUGACUUGGGUGUUCAUGGCAUUGUGUGAGAUAUGCUUCCUUUUAAACUUGUUAGGAUGUUGAUAUAAAAAUAAUUCUCUUCUGAGC